AUUGAACGCUGGCGGAACGCUUUACACAUGCAAGUCGAACGGCAGCACGGACUUCGGUCUGGUGGCGAGUGGCGAACGGGUGAGUAAUGUAUCGGAACGUGCCCAGUCGUGGGGGAUAACGUAGUGAAAAUUACGCUAAUACCGCAUACGAUCUAUGGAUGAAAGCGGGGGAUCGCAAGACCUCGCGCGAUUGGAGCGGCCGAUAUCAGAUUAGGUAGUUGGUGGGGUAAAGGCCCACCAAGCCAACGAUCUGUAGCUGGUCUGAGAGGACGACCAGCCGCACGGGAACUGAGACACGGUCCAGACUCCUACGGGAGGCAGCAGUGGGGAAUUUUGGACAAUGGGCGAAAGCCUGAUCUAGCCAUUCCGCGUGCAGGAUGAAGGCCCUCGGGUUGUAAACUGCUUUUGUACAGAACGAAAAGGUUUCUACUAAUACUAGGAGCUCAUGACGGUACUGUAAGAAUAAGCACCGGCUAACUACGUGCCAGCAGCCGCCGCAG
rnacentral:rRNA from 1 species